rnacentral:tRNA from 1 species
GCCGAAGUGGCGGAAUUGGUAGACGCGCUAGGUUCAGGGUCUAGUGGGGGUGCCUCCGUGCGAGUUCAAAUCUCGCCUUCGGCA